rnacentral:misc_RNA from 1 species
UCCGAGUUGACCCCGGCAGUCUCCUACGAGUCCCCGCCAUUACGCGCUGGCAACAUAGGACAAGGGUUGCGCUCGUUGCGGGACUUAACCCAACAUCUCACGACACGAGCUGACGACAACCAUGCACCACCUGUGCAGGGCCCCGAAGGACACCGUAUCUCUACGGCUUUCCGGUAUAUGUCAAACCCAGGUAAGGUGGGGAUGACGUACCC